rnacentral:rRNA from 1 species
UGUGGAUAGGGGUGAAAGGCUAAACAAACCCGGAAAUAGCUGGUUCUCCCCGAAAGCUAUUGAGGUAGCGCGUCGCAUGGACACUUGCGGGGGUAGAGCACUGUCAUCGUUGGGGGGGUCAUUGCGAUCUACCCCGCGAUAGCAAACUCCGAAUACCGCAAAGUGAUGUGCGGCAGACAGACACCGGGUGCUAACGUCCGGUGUCAAGAGGGAAACAACCCAGACCGCCAGCUAAGGCCCCCAAUGCGUGGCUAAGUGGGAAACGAAGUGGGAAGGCUAAAACAGUCAGG